UGCAAGUCGAGGGGCAGCGGAGAGGUAGCAAUACCUUUGCCGGCGACCGGCGCACGGGUGAGUAACACGUAUGCAAUCCACCUGUAACAGGGGGAUAACCCGGAGAAAUCCGGACUAAUACCCCAUAAUAUGGGCGCUCCGCAUGGAGAGCCCAUUAAAGAGAGCAAUUUUGGUUACAGACGAGCAUGCGCUCCAUUAGCCAGUUGGCGGGGUAACGGCCCACCAAGGCGACGAUGGAUAGGGGUUCUGAGAGGAAGGUCCCCCACAUUGGAACUGAGACACGGUCCAAACUCCUACGGGAGGCAGCAGUGAGGAAUAUUGGUCAAUGGUCGGCAGACUGAACCAGCCAAGUCGCGUGAGGGAAGACGGCCCUACGGGUUGUAAACCUCUUUUGUCGGAGAGUAAAGUACGCUACGCGUAGCGUAUUGCAAGUAUCCGAAGAAAAAGCAUCGGCUAACUCCGUGCCAGCAGCCGCGGUAAUACGGAGGAUGCGAGCGUUAUCCGGAUUUAUUGGGUUUAAAGGGUGCGUAGGCGGCACGCCAAGUCA
rnacentral:rRNA from 1 species